GACGAACGCUGGCGGCGUGCCUAACACAUGCAAGUCGAGCGGAGAAUGCGAGAUGUUUACAUCGAGUGUUCUUAGCGGCGGACGGGUGAGUAACACGUGGGUAACCUGCCUCAGAGUGGGGGAUAGCCUUUCGAAAGGAAGAUUAAUACCGCAUAAGCUUGUAGCAUCGCAUGGUGCAGCAAGAAAAGGAGCAAUCCGCUUUGAGAUGGACCCGCGGCGCAUUAGCUAGUUGGUGAGGUAACGGCUCACCAAGGCCACGAUGCGUAGCCGACCUGAGAGGGUGAUCGGCCACAUUGGAACUGAGACACGGUCCAGACUCCUACGGGAGCAG
rnacentral:rRNA from 1 species